rnacentral:rRNA from 1 species
UACAGAGGUCUCAAGCGUUGUUCGGAUUCAUUGGGCGUAAAGGGUGCGUAGGCGGCGCGGUAAGUCGGGUGUGAAAUCUCGGAGCUUACUACCGAAACUGCAUUCGAUACUGCCGUGCUUGAGGACUGGAGAGGAGACUGGAAUUUACGGUGUAGCGGUGAAAUGCGUAGAUAUCGUAAGGAAGACCAGUGGCGAAGGCGGGUCUCUGGACAGUUCCUGACGCUGAGGCACGAAGGUCAGGGGAGCAAACGGG